rnacentral:rRNA from 1 species
AUGAACCGCUUUCGGGCGGGGAUUAGUGGCGAACGGGUGAGUAACACGUGGGCAAUCUGCCCUGCACUCUGGGACAAGCCCUGGAAACGGGGUCUAAUACCGGAUAUGACUGUCCAUCGCAUGGUGGAUGGUGUAAAGCUCCGGCGGUGCAGGAUGAGCCCGCGGCCUAUCAGCUUGUUGGUGAGGUAGUGGCUCACCAAGGCGACGACGGGUAGCCGGCCUGAGAGGGCGACCGGCCACACUGGGACUGAGACACGGCCCAGACUCCUACGGGAGGCAGCAGUGGGGAAUAUUGCACAAUGGGCGAAAGCCUGAUGCAGCGACGCCGCGUGAGGGAUGACGGCCUUCGGGUUGUAAACCUCUUUCAGCAGGGAAGAAGCGAAAGUGACGGUACCUGCAGAAGAAGCGCCGGCUAACUACGUGCCAGCAGCCGCGGUAAUACGUAGGGCGCAAGCGUUGUCCGGAAUUAUUGGGCGUAAAGAGCUCGUAGGCGGCUUGUCACGUCGGUUGUGAAAGCCCGGGGCUUAACCCCGGGUCUGCAGUCGAUACGGGCAGGCUAGAGUUCGGUAGGGGAGAUCGGAAUUCCUGGUGUAGCGGUGAAAUGCGCAGAUAUCAGGAGGAACACCGGUGGCGAAGGCGGAUCUCUGGGCCGAUACUGACGCUGAGGAGCGAAAGCGUGGGGAGCGAACAGGAUUAGAUACCCUGGUAGUCCACGCCGUAAACGGUGGGCACUAGGUGUGGGCAACAUU